rnacentral:rRNA from 1 species
UACGUAGGGUGCGAGCGUUGUCCGGAAUUAUUGGGCGUAAAGAGCUCGUAGGCGGUGUGUCGCGUCGGCCGUGAAAACCUGGGGCUCAACUCUGGGCGUGCGGUCGAUACGGGCAUCACUUGAGUUCGGCAGGGGAGACUGGAAUUCCUGGUGUAGCGGUGAAAUGCGCAGAUAUCAGGAGGAACACCGGUGGCGAAGGCGGGUCUCUGGGCAUGUCCUGACGCUGAGGAGCGAAAGUGUGGGGAGCGAACAGG